UACGUAGGCAGCGAGCGUUGUUCGGAGUUACUGGGCGUAAAGAGUGCGUAGGCGGUUUUCUAAGUUUGGUGUGAAAUCUCCCGGCUUAACUGGGAGGGUGCGCCGAAAACUGGAAGGCUUGAGUAUGGGAGAGGUAAGCGGAAUUCCUGGUGUAGCGGUGAAAUGCGUAGAUAUCAGGAGGAACACCGGUGGCGAAGGCGGUUCUCUGGGAAUGUCCUGACGCUGAGGAGCGAAAGUGUGGGGGAGCGAACGGG
rnacentral:rRNA from 1 species